GACGAACGCUGGCGGCGUGCUUAACACAUGCAAGUCGAACGCUGAAGCUCAGCUUUUGUUGGGUGGAUGAGUGGCGAACGGGUGAGUAACACGUGAGUAACCUGCCCCCUUCUUUGGGAUAACGCCCGGAAACGGGUGCUAAUACUGGAUAUUCACUGGUCUUCGCAUGGGGGUUGGUGGAAAGGGUUUUUCUGGUGGGGGAUGGGCUCGCGGCCUAUCAGCUUGUUGGUGGGGUGAUGGCCUACCAAGGCUUUGACGGGUAGCCGGCCUGGGAGGGUGACCGGUCACAUUGGGACUGAGAUACGGCCCAGACUCCUACGGGAGGCAGCAGUGGGGAAUAUUGCACAAUGGGCGCAAGCCUGAUGCAGCGACGCCGCGUGAGGGAUGGAGGCCUCCGGGUUGUGAACCUCUUUCGCUCAUGGUCAAGCCGCAACAAUGGUUGUGGUGAGGGUAGUGGGUAAAGAAGCGCCGGCUAACUACGUG
rnacentral:rRNA from 1 species